rnacentral:rRNA from 1 species
CAGUAGCCGCGGUAAUACGAAGGGGGCUAGCGUUGCUCGGAAUGACUGGGCGUAAAGGGCGCGUAGGCGGAUUGCGCAGUCAGAUGUGAAAUUCCUGGGCUUAACCUGGGGGCUGCAUUUGAGGCGCGUAGUCUAGAGUGUGAAAGAGGGUAGUGGAAUUUCCGCGUGUAGCAGUGAAAUGCGUAGAUAUGCGGAGGAACACCGAUGGCGAAGGCAAUCCCCUGGACCUGUACUGACGCUCACGCACGAAAGCGUGGGGAGCAAACAGGAUUAGAGACCCCUGUAGUCCCUGUCUCUUAUU